CGGACGGGUGAGUAACGCGUGAGAAUCUGCCCUCAGGAGGGGGAUAACGGCUGGAAACGGCCGCUAAUACCCCAUAUGCCGAGAGGUGAAAUGAAUUUCGCCUGAGGAUGAGCUCGCGUCUGAUUAGCUAGUUGGUAGGGUAAAGGCCUACCAAGGCUUCGAUCAGUAGCUGGUCUGAGAGGAUGAUCAGCCACACUGGGACUGAGGCACGGCCCAGACUCCUACGGGAGGCAGCAGUGGGGAAUUUUCCGCAAUGGGCGAAAGCCUGACGGAGCAACGCCGCGUGAGGGAUGAAGGCCUCUGGGCUGUAAACCUCUUUUAUCAAGGAAGAAGAUCUGACGGUACUUGAUGAAUAAGCCACGGCUAAUUCCGUGCCAGCAGCCGCGGUAAUACGGGAGUGGCAAGCGUUAUCCGGAAUUAUUGGGCGUAAAGCGUCCGCAGGCGGUCUUACAAGUCUGUCGUUAAAGCGUGAAGCUUAACUCCAUUUCAGCGAUGGAAACUGUAAGACUAGAGUGUGGUAGGGGCAGAGGGAAUUCCCGGUGUAGCGGUGAAAUGCGUAGAUAUCGGGAAGAACACCAGUGGCGAAGGCGCUCUGCUGGGCCAUAACUGACGCUCAUGGACGAAAGCCAGGGGAGCGAAAGGGAUUAGAUACCCCUGUAGUC
rnacentral:rRNA from 1 species